UACAGAGGUCUCCAGCGUUGUUCGGAUUCAUUGGGCGUAAAGGGCGCGUAGGCGGCGGGGUAAGUCGGGUGUGAAAUCUCAGAGCUCAACUCUGAAAUGGCACUUGAUACUGCUCUGCUAGAGGAGUGGAGAGGAGAUUGGAAUUCACGGUGUAGCAGUGAAAUGCGUAGAUAUCGUGAGGAAGACCGGUGGCGAAGGCGGAUCUCUGGACAGUUCCUGACGCUGAGGCGCGAAGGCCAGGGGAGCAAACGGG
rnacentral:rRNA from 1 species